rnacentral:hammerhead_ribozyme from 1 species
AUCCAGCUGAAGAGUUCUAAACAAAACGAAGUUACGUGCGUCCUGAAU